rnacentral:rRNA from 1 species
CAGUCGGGAAUAUUGCACAAUGGGGGAAACCUGAUGCAGCCAUGCCGCGUGUGUGAAGAAGGCCUUCGGGUUGUAAAGCACUUUCAGUAGGGAGGAAGGUAGUGUAGUUAACACCUGCACUAUUUGACGUUACCUACAGAAGAAGCACCGGCUAACUCCGUGCCAGCAGCCGCGGUAAUACGGAGGGUGCGAGCGUUAAUCGGAAUUACUGGGCGUAAAGCGCAUGCAGGCGGCCUGUUAAGUCAGAUGUGAAAGCCCCGGGGCUUAACCUCGGAAUUGCAUUUGAAACUGGCAGGCUAGAGUCUUGUAGAGGGGGUAGAAUUUCAGGUGUAGCGGUGAAAUGCGUAGAGAUCUGAAGGAAUACCAGUGGCGAAGGCGGCCCCCUGGACAAAGACUGACGCUCAGAUGCGAAAGCGUGGGGAGCAAACAGGAUUAGAUACCCUGGUAG